rfam:Nomascus leucogenys chromosome 17, whole genome shotgun sequence.
UGCCUAAGGUGGUGUUGGCUUGGGGUGCCCACUGCAGUUACCCUCCCUUCGGUGUUACUGAGCACUGGGGGCUUUCGGGCUCUGCGUUUGCAC